AUUGAACGCUGGCGGCAGGCCUAACACAUGCAAGUCGAGCGGGGGGGGGGACGGGGGAGUAUUGCUAAGGAAUUGGCCUGGUAGUGGGGGAUAAGGUCGGGAAAGGGGGCCUAAUACGGCACCCUAUCAGUUGAGCCUAGGUCGGAUUAGCUGGUUGGUGGGGUAAAGGCCUACCAAGGCGACGAUCCGUAACUGGUCUGAGAGGAUGAUCAGUCACACUGGAACUGAGACACGGUCCAGACUCCUACGGGAGGCAGCAGUGGGGAAUAUUGGACAAUGGGCGAAAGCCUGAUCCAGCCAUGCCGCGUGUGUGAAGAAGGUCUUCGGAUUGUAAAGCACUUUAAGUUGGGAGGCGUUACCAACAGAAUAAGCACCGGCUAACUUCGUGCCAGCAGCCGCGGUAAUUC
rnacentral:rRNA from 1 species